CCCAUAGCGACACCCAGCCCCAUAGCGACCCCCAGCCCCAUAGCGACUCUGAGCCCCAUAGCGACUCUGAGCCCCAUAGCAACCCCCAGCCCCAUAGCGACCCCCAGCCCCAUAGCGACUCCCACCCCACAAGUGACUCCCAGCCCCAUAGCGAGACCCAUAAGUGACUCUAAGCCCUAUAAGUGACUCCUCAGCCCUAUAAGUGAACCCUCUGCCCCAUAAGUGAACCCUCUGCCCUAUAAGUGAACCCUCUGCCCCAUAGAGAGACCCACAAGUGGUCCCUCUGCCCCAUAAGUGACCCCUCUGCCCCACAAGUGACCCCUCAGCCCCAUAGUGAGACCCACAUGUGGUCUCUCAGCCCCAUAAGUGACCCCUCUGCCCCAUAAGUGACUCCUCUGCCCCACAAGUGCCCCCCCAGCUGAGCCCUGUGGGGCUGCCCCACACUCCGCCCCACAAGUGCCUCCAGCCCCACAGAAAUAAAGGUGCUCUCAAUGGAUACAGGCCCCAUUGAUGGGGGGGGAGGAAGUGGGGAGGGGUGGGUGGGGUCUCUAUGGGUCUCUAUGGGUCCCUAUGGGGUCCCUAUGGGUCUCUAUGGGUCCCUAUGGGUCUCUAUGGGUCCCUAUGGGGUCCCUAUGGGUCCCUAUGGGUCCCUAUGGGUCCCUAUGGGUCGCUAUGGGGUCUCUAUGGGUCCUUAUGUUCCCCUAUAGGGUCCCUAUGUGUCUCUAUGGGUCCCUAUGGGUCCCUAUUGGCCUCUAUGGGUCUCUAUGUGUCCUUAUGGGUCCCUAUGGGUCCCUAUGUGUCUCUAUGGGGUCCCUAUGGGUCUCUAUUGGUCCCUAUGUGUCUCUAUGGGUCCUAAUGUCCCCCUAUGGGUCUCUAUGGGGUCUCUAUGUGUCUCUAUGGGUCUCUAUGGGUCUCUAA
rnacentral:lncRNA from 1 species